rnacentral:rRNA from 1 species
GACGAACGCUGGCGGCGUGCUUAACACAUGCAAGUCGAACGGAAAGGCCCUGCUUGCAGGGUGCUCGAGUGGCGAACGGGUGAGUAACACGUGGGUGAUCUGCCCCUUACUUUGGGAUAAGCCUGGGAAACUGGGUCUAAUACUGGAUAGGACCAUGCUGUAGGUGGUGUGGUGGAAAGAUUAGUUUCGGUAAGGGAUGAGCUCGCGGCCUAUCAGCUUGUUGGUGGGGUAAUGGCCUACCAAGGCGUCGACGGGUAGCCGGCCUGAGAGGGUGGACGGCCACAUUGGGACUGAGAUACGGGGCAGACUCCUACAGGAGGCAGCAGUGGGGGAAAUUGCGCAAUAGGCGCAAGCCUGAUGUGGCGAAGCCGCGUGGGGGGUGACGGCCUUCGGGUUGUAAACACCUUUCAGCCAUGACGAAGCCCUUGUGGUGACGGUAGUGGUAGAAGAAGCACCGGCUAACUACGUG